GGGGAAUUAGCUCAGAUGGCAGAGCGCUCGCAUAGCAUGUAAUGCUACCAUGCGAGAGGCAGGGGGACCGACACCCCCAUUCUGCA